AUUGAACGCUGGCGGCAGGCUUAACACAUGCAAGUCGAACGGUAACAGGUAAGUACUUGUACUUAUGCUGACGAGUGGCGGACGGGUGAGUAAUGCUUGGGGAUCUGGCUUAUGGAGGGGGAUAACGACGGGAAACUGUCGCUAAUACCGCGUAGAAUCGGGAGAUGAAAGUGUGGGACCUUCGGGCCACAUGCCAUAGGAUGAACCCAAGUGGGAUUAGGUAGUUGGUGGGGUAAUGGCCUACCAAGCCGACGAUCUCUAGCUGGUCUGAGAGGAUGACCAGCCACGCCGGGACUGAGACACGGCCCGGACUCCUACGGGAGGCAGCAGUGGGGAAUAUUGCGCAAUGGGGGCAACCCUGACGCAGCCAUGCCGCGUGAAUGAAGAAGGCCUUCGGGUUGUAAAGUUCUUUCGGUGACGAGGAAGGUUGUUGUGUGAAUAGCGCAACAAAUUGACGUUAAUCACAGAAGAAGCACCGGCUAACUCCGUGCCAGCAGCCGCGGUAAUACGGAGGGUGCGAGCGUUAAUCGGAAUAACUGGGCGUAAAGGGCACGCAGGCGGACUUUUAAGUGAGGUGUGAAAUCCCCGGGGCUUAACCUGGGAAUUGCAUUUCAGACUGGGGGGUCUAGAGUACUUUUAGGGAGGGGUAGAAUUCCCACGUGUAGCGGUGAUAUGCGUAGAGAUGUGGAGGAAUACCGAAUGCUAAGGCUGCCCCUUUGGGAAUGUACUGACUGUUCUGUGCGCAAGCGUGGGGAGCAAAAAUGG
rnacentral:rRNA from 1 species